rnacentral:rRNA from 1 species
UACGUAGGCGGCCUGUUAAGUCAGAUGUGAAAGCCCCGGGCUUAACCUGGGAACUGCAUUUGAUACUGGCAGGCUAGAGUCUGAUAGAGGGAAGUGGAAUUCCGGGUGUAGCGGUGAAAUGCGUAGAGAUCCGGAGGAACAUCAGUGGCGAAGGCGGCUUCCUGGAUCAAGACUGACGCUGAGGUACGAAAGCGUGGGGAGCAAACA